UACAGAGGGUGCAAACGUUGUUCGGAAUUACUGGGCGUAAAGCGCGUGUAGGCUGUUCCGCAAGUCGGAUGUGAAAGCCCUGGGCUCAACCUAGGAAGUGCACUCGAAACUGCGGAACUGGAGUCCUGGAGAGGAAGGCGGAAUUCUCGGUGUAGAGGUGAAAUUCGUAGAUAUCGAGAGGAACACCGGUGGCGAAGGCGGCCUUCUGGACCGAUACUGACGCUGAGGCGCGGAAGCGUGGGGAGCAAACAGG
rnacentral:rRNA from 1 species